rnacentral:sRNA from 1 species
GGUGUAUGUGAGGCUGAAAGGGAAGGAGGAACAGGGUCUGGGCCGCUGUGUGCUCUGCCGUCAUCUCUAAGAAACAACCAUACCACUGAAUGCUACUGUGUACUUACAAACCACACUCAUAUUCGUCACGUCAUUUCAUCUUCACCCCCACCUCCAAAUGAGUGCCGGCGUUGACUGGGUUUUGUGGUGAUCCUUGUCUGGAAUGAAGAAAGCCUGGCUUGCGCAGAGGUGUUUCCCUGCAGAGGGGCUUGGAGAAGCAGAAGUGGCAGUAUCUGCUAUCUUUUACGUCAGAGACUGCCAACUGGCAGACUUUCCGCACGCCUGUCUUAAACCCACUACUAGAUAUUUCUGUUAA